AUUGAACGCUGGCGGAAUGCUUUACACAUGCAAGUCGAGCGGCAGCGCGGGGCAACCUGGCGGCGAGCGGCGAACGGGUGAGUAACACAUCGGAACGUGCCCAGACGUGGGGGAUAGCCCGGCGAAAGCCGGAUUAAUACCGCAUACGAUCUAAGGAUGAAAGCGGGGGACUCGCAAGGGCCUCGCGCGUUUGGAGCGGCCGAUGGCAGAUUAGGUAGUUGGUGGGGUAAAGGCCUACCAAGCCUACGAUCUGUAGCUGGUCUGAGAGGACGACCAGCCACACUGGGACUGAGACACGGCCCAGACUCCUACGGGAGGCAGCAGUGGGGAAUUUUGGACAAUGGGCGCAAGCCUGAUCCAGCCAUGCCGCGUGCGGGAAGAAGGCCU
rnacentral:rRNA from 1 species